rnacentral:rRNA from 1 species
AUGUGCAUGACAGGAGACGGUGGCUGGCACCGCCGGGGUACGGUGAUGAACGCAGCCCCGUGCGCACAGCUCCACGCGCACCCGCCGCGUCCUCCCGCACCGCGCCGCCCGGCUCGGCCACGACUAGCCAGCUCGCCGGCUGCGGCCAGCCACCUCCAGAUCCUCCCGGCGCGCUUCCCAUCCUCCUCCUCUAUCCUGCUCAACGCCGCGCUCGCCGCCGGCUGCGGAUGGAGCCGCGCGCGCGGCCCGGCUCGGCCACGUCCAGCCAGCUCGCCGGCUGCGGCCAUGGCUGCGCCGCCACCUCACGCCGGGUCCUACACCAUCAGCCGACGGCGACCCUGCACGACCCCCUGGAUGAGCAGCUCGAGCUCCGUGAUGGAGAUGGCGAUAACGGUGCACAAAAGGUGUUUGUAA